ACACAUUUUCCUGUUUGUUUUUAAUCGUCAGUUCAUGCGAUUUCUUCACCACUUAUUGAGAGAAAACCACAGAACAAGCUUAUUUCUGACCGACUCUCAUUAACACCGCUGUAUCGAGGAGAAGCAGGAGAUUUGAAGCUUUCCUCCUGAAUGAGCUCCUUUGUUCCCAGAAGGCCGCUGGUAUCGACGUUAACGCCACGAAACGCAGGACUGCUCUGACACUGCACAUUAUAAUUGGGAGCAUUUUGACAGUCUUGUUUUUCUGCUACACACCAAGGCCGUGUUGGAGCAGAGUUUUCCUCUCUGGACUGAAGUCCCUGGUUUGUCGUUUUGGUUUAUUCUCUAAACAAACUUCAUGAAACUCUCUGCAUCCACCCGUCUUCAUUCGUUUCUUUCUUUCUGUCCUCCACACUUUUUCUUUGCCAUCACUUCCUUGCACUGUUAAGGAACAGGACUUUCUUUCUUGUCUGCCGUCUCAUCCUCUUUUCAUUUUCAGUCUAUUCACUGCAGGUCCAUUUGGGUCCCUUUGUCGGUUCUGCAGAAGUGACAGAAAUGAUUAGAGGAAGAAAAUCACAGAGCACCGAACAGAAGAACCACAAGAAACCACACACCGAAUUCUGCAGCACCGCUACCUGUUCGGUUUCCAAAGUCAAGCUAGCACAACUGAGCUGCUUCGCUCUCUCUCACUGUUAAUCUUGCAGGUGUGACGUCACUUUGCAACGUGUCGUUUUUAGGAAAGUGGAUGAUGACUUGAAAUGAUAUGGAGGCAGAGAAUGACUACAGUGAAUGUCUCAAACAUGAACAAAUCAAGAAACAACAAUGAAAACCUAUUCAGUAACACAAAUACCUACUAAAAAUUUUAAU